rnacentral:rRNA from 1 species
AGUGAACGCUGGCGGCGUGCCUAAUACAUGCAAGUCGAACGGAGUGACGCACGGGUGAGUAAUAUAUAGCUACUCUGCACCUUGCUAGAGGACAACAGUUAGAAAUGACUGCUAAUACUCCAUAGCAAGGGAUGAGACUAUAACGUAUCAGCUAGUCGGGGGGGUAACGGCCUACCGAGGGUAUGACGCGUAACUGGUCUGAGAGGAUGAUCAGUAAACUCGGAAGUGAGACACGGUCGAGAAUCCUACGGGAGGGAGCAGUAGGGUAUAUUGCGCAAUGGGGGAGAGUCAAGCGCAGCUACGCCGCGUGAAGGAUGACACUUUUCGGAGCGUAAACUCCUUUUGAUAGGGAAGCGGUACCUAACGAAUAAGCACCGGCUAACUCCGUGCCAGCAGCCGCGGUAAUUC